AUGGCAUAUCUACGAAAAUUGUAUUGCGGUGAGGAGAAACACUGCAUUGGCGAAUUGCGCAUGAAAAAAUCAGUGUUCUUCAAACUGUGUGAUAAAUUACGAAGUAUGGGUCCACUUAAAGAUACAUGGCAUUGUACUGUAGAGGAGCAAGUUGCCAUGUUCCUCACUACAGUAGGGCAUCAUAAGAAACAUAUCGACAUUAGUUUCCAUUUCACAAGGUCAGGUGAGACAGUGAGUCGUCACUUCAACAGAGUUUUAUUUGCAAUUGGGAAACUUGGACCAGAAAUGCUUAGGCAUCGAACACUUGAUACACCAUCAAAGAUUGAAGGCAACCCACGAUUUGAUCCGUAUUUUAAGGACUGUAUUGGUGCUAUUGAGGGUACACAUGUUUCAUGUAACGUUCCAUCUCGGAUAGUCGACAGAUUUCGUGGCAGGAAACCAUUCCCUACCCAAAAUGUUCUUGCGGCGAUUGACUUUGAUUUGUUAUUCACUUAUGUUUGUGGGCGCUGGGAAGGUUCGGCCCACGAUUCAACUGUUUUACGACAUUCUCUUGAGCAUCCAAAUGGCCUUAGAAUCCCUGAAGGUAAAUACUAUCUUGCGGAUGCGGGUUAUGCAGCUAGGAGAGAAUUCCUACCACCGUUCCGUCAAACUCGAUAUCAUUUGCGUGAAUGGAGGGGUAAUAAUAGACCCCGCACCCAGAAUGAGCUAUUCAACUUAAGGCACUCAUCCCUUCGUACAACCGUUGAAAGGCAUUUGGGACAUUAA
rnacentral:rRNA from 1 species